GGAGGUUCCACUUCAUUCCACAAAUUCUUCCGCAGGUUUCAUUAAACCCCGAUUUUGGAGUCUCUCACUAUUUCCAUUUCCAUGCAACCCUCUCCCAACAUCGUGUAUUACACUAUGGAUCACAUUCUUCCCAAUCUUUGCAGGCAAUAACUAUCCCACACUCAUACGUCUCGUCCAGAGCAGAGGAGCAGAAGAAGAUAAUCAUUCAUAGAUGGGCAUUUUCAAGAAAACUGCGGAGAACAUCUGCAAAGAAUGGAAAAGUAUCGAAUUCAGACAACAGGAAGGAAAUAUGAACCAAUGGGGAGUAGAGACCCGGAGAGAGUAGUUGAAUAGUGAGCUGGAAGACGCCAUAGGGCCUACGCCACGAAGAGGCGCAACGGUCUGCUGUUGAUGAAUGCAAUACAUUUCGGAGCGGUGAUUGGGGUUAGUUUUUUCAUAAGGGACCUGGUAUAGUAGACGUCUCCCAGACCAUCACCUGAGGACGGAAACAGAUCCAGUUUCCGAAACGUUGUGAUCUUUAGAAUAUCGGACGUCAGACAAUGUUUGUACAACUCCCGUUUUACACUAAUUAACAAAGUUUUCAUUCAUUCAUCAAUGGUUCU